rnacentral:rRNA from 1 species
UACGUAGGUGGCAAGCGUUGUCCGGAUUUAUUGGGUUUAAAGGGUGCGUAGGCGGCCUUGUAAGUCAGUGCUGAAAUAUCCCGGCUUAACCGGGAGGGUGGCAUUGAUACUGCAGGGCUUGAGUAAAGUUGAGGCUGGCGGAAUUGACGGUGUAGCGGUGAAAUGCUUAGAUAUCGUCAAGAACACCGAUAGUGAAGACAGCUAACUAAGCUUUAACUGACGCUGAGGCACGAAAGUGUGGGGAUCAAACAGG